UACGGAGGGAGCAAGCGUUAUCCGGAAUCACUGGGUUUAAAGGGUGCGGAGGCGGCUUGGGAAGUCAGCGGUGAAAGCUGCCCGCUUAACGGGAGAGGUGCCCCUGAUACUGCCAGGCUUGAAUCGGCGCGAGGCAGGCGGAAUGUGACAUGUAGCGGUGAAAUGCUUAGAUAUGUCAUAGAACACCGAUUGCGAAGGCAGCCUGCCAGAGCCGUUAUUGACGCUGAGGCACGAAAGCGGGGGGAGCGAACAGG
rnacentral:rRNA from 1 species